rnacentral:rRNA from 1 species
CCCUUAGAUGUCCUGGGCUGCACGCGCGCUACACUGAUGUGUCCAGUAAGCACCUAACCUCUUCCGAAAGGAACGGGUAACCUUUGCAAAGCACAUCGUGAUGGGGAUAGAUUAUUGCAAUUAUUAGUCUUGAACGAGGAAUUCCUAGUAAGCACAAGUCAUCAGCUUGUGUUGAUUACGUCCCUGCCCUUUGUACACACCUCCCGUCGCUCCUACCGAUUGAAUGUUCCGGUGAGCUCUUCGGACUGCGCGGUCUGCAGUUUCUGCGUUCCGUGCGGAAAGUUGCGCAAACCUUAACAUUUAGAGGAAGGAGAAGUCGUAACA